rnacentral:rRNA from 1 species
GAUGAACGCUGGCGGCGUGCCUAAUACAUGCAAGUCGAGCGAACAGACGAGGAGCUUGCUCCUCUGACGUUAGCGGCGGACGGGUGAGUAACACGUGGAUAACCUACCUAUAAGACUGGGAUAACUUCGGGAAACCGGAGCUAAUACCGGAUAAUAUAUUGAACCGCAUGGUUCAAUAGUGAAAGACGGUUUUGCUGUCACUUAUAGAUGGAUCCGCGCCGCAUUAGCUAGUUGGUAAGGUAACGGCUUACCAAGGCAACGAUGCGUAGCCGACCUGAGAGGGGGAUCGGCCACACGGGAAGUGAGACACGGUCCAGGCUCCUACGGGAGGCAGCAGUAGGGAAUCUUACGCAAUGGGCGAAAGCCUGACGGAGCAACGCCGCGUGAGUGGUGAAGGUCUUCGGAUCGUAAAACUCUGUUAUUAGGGAAGAACAAAUGUGUAAGUAACUAUGCACGUCUUGACGGUACCUAAUCAGAAAGCCACGGCUAACUACGUG